GGUUAAGUUAGAAAGGGCGCACGGUGGAUGCCUUGACACUAGGAGUCGAUGAAGGACGGGACUAACGCCGAUAUGCUUCGGGGAGCUGUAAGUAAGCUUUGAUCCGAAGAUUUCCGAAUGGGGAAACCCACCAUACGUAAUGGUAUGGUAUCCUUAUCUGAAUACAUAGGGUAAGGAAGACAGACCCAGGGAACUGAAACAUCUAAGUACCUGGAGGAAGAGAAAGCAAAUGCGAUUUCCUGAGUAGCGGCGAGCGAAACGGAACAUAGCCCAAACCAAGAGGCUUGCCUCUUGGGGUUGUAGGACAUUCUAUACGGAGUUACAAAGGAACGAGGUAGACGAAGCGACCUGGAAAGGUCCGUCGUAGAGGGUAACAACCCCGUAGUCGAAACUUCGUUCUCUCUUGAAUGUAUCCUGAGUACGGCGGAACACGUGAAAUUCCGUCGGAAUCUGGGAGGACCAUCUCCCAAGGCUAAAUACUCCCUAGUGAUCGAUAGUGAACCAGUACCGUGAGGGAAAGGUGAAAAGCACCCCGGAAGGGGAGUGAAAGAGAUCCUGAAACCGUGUGCCUACAAAUAGUCAGAGCCCUUUAACGGGUGAUGGCGUGCCUUUUGUAGAAUGAACCGGCGAGUUACGAUCCCGUGCGAGGUUAAGCUGAAGAGGCGGAGCCGCAGCGAAAGCGAGUCUGAAUAGGGCGUUUAGUACGUGGUCGUAGACCCGAAACCAGGUGAUCUACCCAUGUCCAGGGUGAAGUUCAGGUAACACUGAAUGGAGGCCCGAACCCACGCACGUUGAAAAGUGCGGGGAUGAGGUGUGGGUAGCGGAGAAAUUCCAAUCGAACCUGGAGAUAGCUGGUUCUCCCCGAAAUAGCUUUAGGGCUAGCCUUAAGUGUAAGAGUCUUGGAGGUAGAGCACUGAUUGGACUAGGGGUCCUCAUCGGAUUACCGAAUUCAGUCAAACUCCGAAUGCCAAUGACUUAUCCUUAGGAGUCAGACUGCGAGUGAUAAGAUCCGUAGUCAAAAGGGAAACAGCCCAGACCGCCAGCUAAGGUCCCAAAGUGUGUAUUAAGUGGAAAAGGAUGUGGAGUUGCUUAGACAACUAGGAUGUUGGCUUAGAAGCAGCCACCAUUUAAAGAGUGCGUAAUAGCUCACUAGUCGAGUGACUCUGCGCCGAAAAUGUACCGGGGCUAAAUACACCACCGAAGCUGCGGAUUGAUACCGAAUGGUAUCAGUGGUAGGGAGCGUUCUAAGGACAGUGAAGUCAGACCGUAAGGACUGGUGGAGUGCUUAGAAGUGAGAAUGCCGGUAUGAGUAGCGAAAGACGGGUGAGAAUCCCGUCCACCGAAUGCCUAAGGUUUCCUGAGGAAGGCUCGUCCGCUCAGGGUUAGUCAGGACCUAAGCCGAGGCCGACAGGCGUAGGCGAUGGACAACAGGUUGAUAUUCCUGUACCACCUCUUUAUCGUUUGAGCAAUGGAGGGACGCAGAAGGAUAGAAGAAGCGUGCGAUUGGUUGUGCACGUCCAAGCAGUUAGGCUGAUAAGUAGGCAAAUCCGCUUAUCAUAAAGGCUGAGCUGUGAUGGGGAAGCUCCUUAUGGAGCGAAGUCUUUGAUUCCCCGCUGCCAAGAAAAGCUUCUAGCGAGAUAAAAGGUGCCUGUACCGCAAACCGACACAGGUAGGCGAGGAGAGAAUCCUAAGGUGUGCGAGAGAACUCUGGUUAAGGAACUCGGCAAAAUGACCCCGUAACUUCGGGAGAAGGGGUGCUUUCUUAACGGAAAGCCGCAGUGAAUAGGCCCAAGCGACUGUUUAGCAAAACACAGCUCUCUGCGAAGCCGUAAGGCGAAGUAUAGGGGGUGACACCUGCCCGGUGCUGGAAGGUUAAGGAGAGGGGUUAGCGUAAGCGAAGCUCUGAACUGAAGCCCCAGUAAACGGCGGCCGUAACUAUAACGGUCCUAAGGUAGCGAAAUUCCUUGUCGGGUAAGUUCCGACCCGCACGAAAGGUGUAACGAUUUGGGCACUGUCUCAACCAGAGACUCGGUGAAAUUAUAGUACCUGUGAAGAUGCAGGUUACCCGCGACAGGACGGAAAGACCCCGUGGAGCUUUACUGUAGCCUGAUAUUGAAUUUUGGUACAGUUUGUACAGGAUAGGCGGGAGCCAUUGAAACCGGAGCGCUAGCUUCGGUGGAGGCGCUGGUGGGAUACCGCCCUGACUGUAUUGAAAUUCUAACCUACGGGUCUUAUCGACCCGGGAGACAGUGUCAGGUGGGCAGUUUGACUGGGGCGGUCGCCUCCUAAAGUGUAACGGAGGCGCCCAAAGGUUCCCUCAGAAUGGUUGGAAAUCAUUCGUAGAGUGCAAAGGCAUAAGGGAGCUUGACUGCGAGACCUACAAGUCGAGCAGGGACGAAAGUCGGGCUUAGUGAUCCGGUGGUUCCGCAUGGAAGGGCCAUCGCUCAACGGAUAAAAGCUACCCCGGGGAUAACAGGCUUAUCUCCCCCAAGAGUCCACAUCGACGGGGAGGUUUGGCACCUCGAUGUCGGCUCAUCGCAUCCUGGGGCUGUAGUCGGUCCCAAGGGUUGGGCUGUUCGCCCAUUAAAGCGGUACGCGAGCUGGGUUCAGAACGUCGUGAGACAGUUCGGUCCCUAUCCGUCGUGGGCGUAGGAAAUUUGAGAGGAGCUGUCCUUAGUACGAGAGGACCGGGAUGGACGCACCGCUGGUGUACCAGUUGUUCUGCCAAGGGCAUAGCUGGGUAGCUAUGUGCGGAAGGGAUAAGUGCUGAAAGCAUCUAAGCAUGAAGCCCCCCUCAAGAUGAGAUUUCCCAUAGCGUAAGCUAGUAAGAUCCCUGAAAGAUGAUCAGGUUGAUAGGUUCGAGGUGGAAGCAUGGUGACAUGUGGAGCUGACGAAUACUAAUAGAUCGAGGACUUAACCAU
rnacentral:rRNA from 1 species